AAUACCUUUAUCGACUCCUUGAAAAAUUCCAAAUCUCACUUUACAUUUCAAAAAAUUAUUUAUUUAUCUCACACGCGUCCCUCGUUUAUCUCACACGCGAUCAAGUGCAGGCCAAGCACCCUUCCUUCCCCUCCAUCAUCGCAGCGUGGUCUUUUCCAUCGCGAUGAGAUUAAGUUGUACCGUGGCGUUUUCUGUUCUCCGCAGCUGAGCAUUGUUUACGGGGGAGGUGGUAAGAGGCCACGAAUCGUGCUCUCUGCCAGCUAGUGAGAAUAUAUUUAUUCGUAUGUUAAAAUGUCGACAAGCGGUCAAGAGUGUACUCUCUUUAGGCCAGCAGGCGGUUCUACGCUGAAUUGCAGAUACGGUGCGGUUUGAUGGUAGUCGCGAAACCGAUUCGACGCCGAUAACAAUUUACAUUCGCCGAUACCGAACUGGGACACGAUGCAGGUGCAACGGCAAAGGAGAAGAAGCAAUGGGCCCUGGGAUUGAGCGAAGCGAUGCAUUUAUCCAGGCCUGUACUUUGAGGCACGUUUACCUCGGCCGGGGAUAUAGGUUGCCUUUUAGAUCUCCUGCCGACCUCUUUCCUCCUGUGGCCAUUUUUACGGAAACGAAAUUCACAGAGUGGGCAGAGCCGAUUCCAGUCUCAGAAGUUCAUCCACCGUGUAGCCGAGGUGCUAUUGUUCCAGAGCCAGCCGACGGAGACCAGACGAUGAGUGGAGGAGGAAGAGGUGGAGGAAGAAGCUAGCAAACGAGGUGGAGGAGGAUGCUAUCGAGAAAGAGGUGUAUCUACAUAAAUAUUACAGUUUCAUCCAUUCCGUAUGAAAUAUGCUGUAUAAUGAAAAAAACAAUCAAAAAGACACAUCUUUUUGAAUAUCAGAAAUCUCAUCUCGAGCAGGAUACUUCCGCGAUUACAUUCGACAAUCUUCUGGAUAUUCCUCUUCAACGAAAUGUCAGCGACUUCUUGAAAUUCCAAUAGAAGAUCUCGAAACGAGGCAAUUCGACUGUUGACAUACGAGCGGCAAAGAGGGGUUAACGGUUAGGGAAUGAUUAAUAAAGAUGCGCGGGCACGCGUUCCACCGGAUAUAAGGCCCACACAGGCCCACCGUGGACGUGUAUGUACUUACUCGAGUCUACAAACGCGUCCCUCUAUCGGCUGCUUCUCGCCAACUACAGAAGAAAACACGGCACAGGGCCGCGGUAGGUGAGCCGGUGUGUAUCAUCGGGACGCGUGCGCUCGUGUAUCCUCAAGGAAUACGCACACACCUGGGCCAGAAGAAGCAGUAACAAGAAGAAGAGGAAGAAGAAGCGAAGAAGGAGAAGAAAGAGAGGGAGGAAGGGGAGGAGGACGCGCGUCCACGUGCAUAACUCGGACAUAAAACAGGCUCGCUCGCGCAAACCACGGCCCCGUGCUGGGGUACGGAUGGACUAACGGAUGGACAGACAGACAGACGGAUCGACACACAGCACGCGCGCAUGAAUAUGUAGGAUGUCUGGAAAAAAAGACGAGGAAAAGUGGGGGCGGCAAACACUCGACGCGCAUAGUAAUCGAAGCCGCGUCAUGCCAAUAACAUCGCGCGCCUAAUGUUCGAUCGAUCGAUCGGCUGACUCGCCACUACAGGGUUUUCCUUGACUCUAUGGUAAGUAUACGCCGGUGCGCACGCGCGUCGCGCAUGCGUAUACGCGAUAGGUUGGCGCGCGCCACAGUCCUCCGAAGAGUUGAUUUACGGUGUCUUUACAAGAAAAAAAUAGUGGAAAAAACAUUCGAUAGAAAAGAGGUAAGAGGAAAGGAGAUAAGUAGUGAAGAUAUAGGGAAAAAAGAUGGGGAGAAAGAAAAAAAGUGGAUUGGAACUGAUGGUAGCGGGGAAUGAAACGAGGGGAGACGCGUGUGCCGCGUACGAAGACACGCGCGAAUAGCCGUGCUAAAAUGGGCGCGGGUAGGUGGCUUACACACGAGCCGGAGUUUACAAUUUUCUGCACGAUGCUCGUUCGAAUGCCUGUAACGUUGCGGAUGCCAAUUGCCGAUAAUUCAAGCGUGUACCUACCCACGAUAUAACGCGUGGCUGCAGACGCUGACAGAUUGCUGGGUACCGGGACAAGCCCUUUCAGCGCCGGCCCUCUUUUAGGCGCGCCACGUUUUGGCGCGUUCAGUGUACCAAGGGAUUUAAAGCGUUGCGGUCGAGAUAAAAAUUCGAUUUGGACUUUGAUCCUUAUGCAACGUAUUAUCUAUGAUGUACGUUUUUUAAAUAGAAAUAUUAUGUUACUCGUAUUACCUGAAUCUGUAUUAUUGGACGUCUUAACCCAUUCUAUCAAGAAUGAGUUAGAACAAUUUAAAAUUUUGGAAUCUGAUCGAUAAUUGAUAUUUUAUGUCAUACGAUUUAUAAUUUAAAAGUAUUUUUUUUUUCUAGAAUAUUUAUCAAAUCGAACUAUACGUUCCAAGUAAUAAACAUAAAUCACAUUUUACAACAAA